CUGAUCUCGGCGUCAGAGGUGCAUCCCACCAGCCUUGUUUCAGUCUACUUUUGUUUGGUGACGUAUCGGGUCAGCCUCGGGGAGCCCAACAUUAAGAAGGUGAUGUUUUGUGCGUGAUGUAGGAACACGGAGUAGGAAUGGUUAUUCUGAAGAACACAUUCCACCAAGCAGCCUUCAAGUCAUAGGGCAGAGCCUUUGGUGCAGGUGUGUUGGAGCUGACCAAGAACCCCUGAAGCUGGUGAUAUAAAGGGAGUUGAGAAAUAAACUGCUCACAUAUUCUGGGAGUUGAAAUCUGUGAAGAUGGAACCUACUCUUGUUCAGCUUCAGCUCCUCGGUUCUCAUGUGGUGAAGACACACAGGAAAUGAAGCCACAACAAAGGGCUACAUAACUCUGGCCGUGGCCACACCAACAGAGGUCGACCAGCUUUCCUCUGAUGAAACUAGAAGCUUAAACGGAAGUGGGAGUGCGUUUAGCCCCGCUGAAGCAGGUUUUCUUCUGAACUGAGGCCGGCUCGCCAGAGGAAGACACAGAAAAGGGUCGGCAUACAACUAUUCUUUUUCAACCGAGAGAUUCUUGCGUCUGUGCGAGGCCCAGAGCUUCUGAAAACCGGCUCAUUUAACCUUUCCAGAGAUCUUAUCCAAGUCUUGGCAGCUGAAAGACGUUUUAGGUCAAUAUACCAAAGAGCUUUUGUUGGGAUUAAAUGACGAAUGCCAAAAUUCAUUUAAAAACACGGAUUCUGAAUAAAUGCAACGUUAGCACAUUUGCAAACGGAUGCAAAGCAGGCUGCUUGAGAGCCCUCCCCCACCCCCACCCUCUGUGGCCUUUGUGUAAGGGAUGUUUGCCCAGUUUCAAGAAUGGAAGGUCUUGGGAGCUGAGAGCUUUCUCUUCCUUUGCUGGCAAAGAGUGAUAUGACCUCUCAGAGUUUUAAAUCGCUGAUGACUGGAUUGUGUGUGUCAUGGAAAACCAGAUUCCUUUUAGCUCAAAGUGGCACAAAAAUGGGAUCCCGAGGCUCAGGACUUCUACAGGAGAGUGGACUCUGAGGUCCCGGGCCUGGGGAUGACCCCUGCUAUAGCACGUUGUUAGGUAUUCAGUAAUUAAACAAUAAAUAUUCAAGAGAAAUGA